CUCAACCUGGGAACUGCAUUUGAGACUGUAUGGCUAGAGUGUGUCAGAGGGGGGUAGAAUUCCACGUGUAGCAGUGAAAUGCGUAGAUAUGUGGAGGAAUACCGAUGGCGAAGGCAGCCCCCUGGGAUAACACUGACGCUCAUGCACGAAAGCGUGGGGAGCAAACAGGAUUAGAUACCCUGGUAGUCCACGCCCUAAACGAUGUCUACUAGUUGUUGGGUCUUAAUUGACUUAGUAACGCAGCUAACGCGUGAAGUAGACCGCCUGGGGAGUACGGUCGCAAGAUUAAAACUCAAAGGAAUUGACGGGGACCCGCACAAGCGGUGGAUGAUGUGGAUUAAUUCGAUGCAACGCGAAAAACCUUACCUAGGCUCGAAGCGCAGUGGAAGUCGGCCGAAAGGUUGAUGUCCGCAAGGACCG
rnacentral:rRNA from 1 species